UGUUCCUUGAGGUUGACAUCACCUCACGAAGGAAAUGACCCUUUCCAGGAAGCAUUUUUCAACCACUUAAUAUUGCCCCCGCCUCCCCGGGGAAGAAAAUAAACACGUUCUUCUCCAUUUAUGGUCUCGGCCUCUCACUCGCUUUCUCCAAUUCAGCUAACGAGCUACUACGAGAUAAUCUGACCGGCAACCUCGCAGAGGAAGGCGGAAUUACAUCACAGGCGCCGAAUGAUAUGUACCCUGAGCGGCCCGAGCGCCCACGCGAGACAUUUACACCUCGCGGCCUACCUUCGUACUGGUCCACACCGGUUUGGAGUUGCUUGAACAUAGGGACAGAUUGAGAGUGCAAGAGGGACCAGAAGACCAAAUCCCGCAGCCAAGGCAAUUCAGUGAAGCGGGAAGUCAAAAGCCAAAACAGCACGAUGACAUCAGCAACAGCGUUUCCACCUCGGCACCUGAAGGCUCACCAGGGCAGACGCCGACGUCCAGAAGCGCCGCAGCAGGCGUUUCUGCACCAGGCCGAGCGCACAACCCCCGGCUCGCCGCCGCAGGAGCCGCCGCAGCCUGGCGGACGGCCGGCGUUUGGCUCGCAGGCGCACCCGGUGGUUUUCGGGCCGCAGCCACUGGAAGCAGUACUGGCACACUGAUGUUUUGUCCAACGCAGCGGAUUCUGGAUUCUUUAUGUCUGAAAAAGGGGGCGUUCAAAAGUGUAGCAACUGGCAGGCGACAAUUCCAUGAUAUAAUGUUAGCCAUUAGCAGUAAACGGCGUGCCGCUCUUUGAGGCAACAGUCAUGAUUAUCACUUGGACGAGGCACUUGAGCGACACGUCGCUGGCGAGCGCUGCGGAUUUCGCUUGGCACGAGUCAGCGUGCGUGUUACAUCGCCGCCAAGACAGCUGGCACGGACUCCUGAGAGUUCCCCCCCCGCCCCACUCGUGAUAAACAGGGAAAUGUCAGUUAUUAACACACAUCUUCCUUGGUGGAGGUAACAUCUGUGAAAGGACUGCUGCUUCCAGGCCAGCAUCUUGAAGAAUUUUGUUUCCAGUGAGUCGACCGCUCGUAAACGAGCACGUUCGUAUUUACAUAUUUGUCAUGCAACUCCUUUUAAGUGCAUGUUUAGUCGGGAGAGAUGUUAUCGGCAGAGUGCUGAAAGACGGCGCUGUUGGCGGAAGGUCGCGUCCAACUUUUCCAGGAUGGGAAGAAUCACCGCACAUUUCCCGCCAGCAUACUUUUUUGGGGGGCAGAUUUAUUAUAACAAAGUAUGCGUGGCAGCGAUUGGCCACAAUCAUUGGGCGGCCCUCAUGUCAAUUGGGCUAGCAGCAAAAAUGGAACAGGCCUCCAAAAAUGUAUCAUUAUUAUUCGAUUAUUUUUUUUCACUGCCAAAUAUUGAAUUUGAUUUAUUACACGUAUUAGUCACCGAACGAAACAUUUCUAAUAUUAUUACGCCAAAAUGUAUUUUCAGAAAGACUUGUUUUAAUGAAUGUGCUUUUCUGUGACGUCACAACUAAGGCUGCUAUACACGGAUUGGCCACUCGGAGGCGCGAGAAACAAGCACGGAAAAACACGCGCUUUACUUGUUUAUUUAGCUGUGGUGUCUUUACACCAUCCCAACCAAAAGCAAUGCCACUGACGGUCGUGAGGGUGAAUUGUCGACGCGGUAAAUGUUGAGAAAUUGUCAUUUUCUUACAGGAAAAAUCGGGAUUCCUCAGGACAGCUUUCUUGAAACAGCAGGGACGCGUUUAGCCGAAACGCGUCCGACAAUUCCUUGUCAUCCGAGCUCAUUUUCCCACACGUAAACUCCUUUGGUGUGUUUCCGUGUUGGUCGUUUUCAUAAAUAAGCACAAUUAAACCAAACGAGUGAGGUAUGUAGCCAAUUAUUUCCGCAUAGUGGGCGUAGACGUGUGGAAACAGAGAACUAAGCUAAUGCUGACCGGAGAGGCACGUUCGGUCGCGAGGCAGUGACGUCAAAGGAGCGCGGUGAAUAAUGGGAAACUGAGUCCGAACCACUCCCAAAUGUCUUUUAUGAUUAAAAAUCAACAAAGGACCGCUAGUUCAAUCACAAGUAAUCAGCCUAUUUGAUCUCCAAACGGUAUAUAUAAUUUAAUAAGUGUGAAUAAAUACAUUUAAUUGACCCUGUAAGAGCGGUAACACAACUCAAGGUGUCGCUCUAACGUAUCCAAACUCACGGCGGACUCCCGAUGACACACUGCGGGGAGGAAAAAUGUGUCAUCGGCUAUUUUGAGGCAGCACUUUGGAGAAGGAGGAAGGUGAACCGUGCCGAUGUGCGUGCCAGAACACAAGCAAGUCAACCGCAAAGGCCCCGCUUGUGAGCUCAACCGACCGCGACGGAAAAUAGUUGCUAAACCAGAACAACUCUUUUUGGGGAAUGGAGUUUGGUCCGCAGUUGUAACAACACUAACAGCCGCUGUCUGGCUUCAUAAGAACUCGAACCGGUUCCAGAACAUCUGCAGACAAAAGUGACCGAAGCGGACACGAUGGAGACGCGUGAUGUCAUCCUCCUGCGGGGCUUCGCACAUUUCGCUCACUCACGCUGACACGCUGCACAAAGUGUGAUCGCUCCCGCGUGGCUUGAUGACUCAAAGCGUACCAUCAAUCAUCCGCAAAGAGCAAGGUCACAGCAUUAGUGUGGGGGAAAAAGAAAAAAAAAAAAAGUCAAAUAUUGUGCAGGAUGGAGCUUCUCUUAACUGUCUGAGAGAAGAUAAAUAAGAGAAUUAAGAAUCAUUUGUACUAUUUGGAGGACGAGCUGUUAAAUUUUGAUGGAGGUCAGAGUUACUGGAUGUUAUCAUUGACCUCGACUUUUGGAUAUUUUAUAUCAUAUUAUUUUAUGAUGACACCAUGUGCCGUGCAAAUCCAAUGAGAAAAACUGAAAUUGUGUCGUCCAUCUGCCUCGUAUAAGUGCUCUGAAUCUGUUAGCAAAGGGGCAAACUCUGUAGUUUGUUUUUGAAGGACCGCAGGAAGUGGCCAAAAUGACCCUGCAAUGGCUGCUUCAAAACAAAAUGGCAGACUUGCCGCGUGUGCCUUGAGACACUUUUGUUGGUCGACUCAUCACAGACAUGGCUACCAAAUUUCAUAUUGCUAAGUCAAACUGGCUUCGGGGGGGGCUGAAUUUUCCCAAAAUGCCGCGAUGUUUGUCGCUCCCGAACUCUUAUUCUCACCAGGAUCCAAAUGUCGAUUUCUUUGCACGCUCUGACUUAAACGAUCCGAAUGAAGCUUCACCCACUUUUGUGUUCACUUCAGGACGACUGCAGCAGCAUUCAGAACGACAGAGAACAAAGCGGCUUAUUCACAGACUCACACGGGCUCUUCUAUCACUAAGGGAAUAAUAAGUAAGGAGCCCAAUAAGCCGGGAAUAUAUAUAUAUAUAUAUAUAUAUAUAUAUAUAUAUUUAAAAAAAUAUGCGUAUUUCAGCAACCGCAGUGGAGUUCAAGUGAAUGCGUCCCUCUGCUUGUCUGUGUAGAAUUUCUUCUGCUCCCUUUGUCCUUCACCUCCUCCGAUGUGGUCCGAGUUGUCCUCAAUGGACGUUGGACUUACCUUAGCAAGCCGCAAUAGUACAGAGCGGACAGUCGGGGGCCAAUAAACCACCAAAAAGGUUGUUUUGUGUGUGGAUGUUACAACGUUUGUAACCAAACACUUUGCUACAGUCCUCAUUUGUUACUGUCUUAGGGUUUCCAUUUUUGGCAUUUUCUCUCGAGACCAUUUUCAUCAUUAACCUUCUUCUUGAGGCAAUUUGGGCCACAGAAGCAUUUUUGUUCUUUUUUUUUUGUGUGCAGGCUUUCUUCCUAAACGAGGCUUGCUUUCGCCUUCGCGCCAGUGAUGAAUGAGGUGUCAGCGUCCUUUAACGCACCCCAUUAGUUGAGUUUUCCCGCGGAAAUAUAUCGGAUCCGUAGUCGUUCAUCCUCGUCAAUGUUGAGAUUUGUUUUGGGUGGUACAGAAGCUGCUGGAUCUUCUUCAAUUUUGAAUCAUUUAUUACUCACGUCCACAUCCCGUAGCGAAAAUAGACGACGCGUCAUAAACACUUUUCAUCAAAAAACACAGACACAGAAAGACUGCCAUUUUGGUUUGAAGAGGUCAUCGUAGGGUCAUUUUGACCAUUUCCAGGCUUCCUUUCAAGACAAUUACCCUAAUUUAUCGUCUAUAAUGCGCCACCCCCUCCACCUAAAACCAACUGUCAAAAGUCAAUAGUGCGCAUUAUACAUGGGUAUAGGGGGGAAAGGGACGUUUAAAUUUUAUAAAUGCAUGCGGCCAUCUAGAGGUUAUGAAAAUACUGUACACUUUCAUUCUCAUAUGCCACCGCCCCCUAGAGGUUAUGAAAAAGGUGUAGCUUACACUUUCAUUCUAAUAUGACAGGGGUACAUAUGACUGCAUAUAUGUACAAUUGUGCUCAUAAGUUUACAUACCCAGGCAGAAUUUGUGAAGUAUCGUUUUUUAUUAUUAUUAUUUUUUUAAAAACACGAUUGAUGACUGAAAAACAACCCUCAUUAAUUUCUUUCUGGUUAUGUUUUGUUUAAUGAUAAUGCUUUUCUGAAAUGCUUGUCAGUUUAAUUUGAAUCCCAUUAAAAUUAAAAUUUAAUGUUUCGCCUGGUCUUUCAUGUUUUCUUUAAAGAAUUGUACACAUCUUACAAAUUCUGCCUGGGUAAUCAAACAUGAGCACAACUGUGUGUUUUCUCAUUUACUAAAUAAAAGUAGGGCUGUGGAUUUCAAAAUAAGAGCAAGUAAAUAAAAAGAAAGUAUUGUGUCCAAAUAAAUUGAACUUCAAUAUAAUUAUUUGAAAAAAUAAAAUACAGAUACUUCAUGUUUUGAUCACAUGGGUAGAAGCAAAGUCAUGCAUUGUAAACAUGCAUUAUACAUAGGGUGAAGGGUUUUCCAGAAUUUUGAGGUCAACUUUGGGGGUGCGUAUUAUACACGGGUGCACAUUAUACACGAGAAAUUACGGCACUCACUAUUACGCACAAAACUCUAAUAACGCACUGCCAAAAGAUAAAGAU